GACGAACGCUGGCGGCGUGCUUAACACAUGCAAGUCGAACGGAAAGACCCUGCUUUUGUGGGGUGCUCGAGUGGCGAACGGGUGUGUAACACGUGAGUAACCUGCCCUUGACUUUGGGAUAACUUCUGGAAACUGGGGCUAAUACCCGAUAGGAUCUCCUGCUGCAUGUUGGGGGUUGGAAAGUUUCGGCGGUUGGGGCUGGACUCGCGGCUUAUCAGCUUGUUUGUGGGGUAGUGGCUUACCAAGGCUUUGACGGGUAGCCGGCCUGAGAGGGGGACCGGGCACAAGGGGACUGAGAGACGGACCAGAAGCGUACGGGAGGCAGCAGUGGGGAAUAUUGCACAAUGGGCGGAAGCCUGAGGCAGCAACGCCGCGUGCGUGAUGACGGCCUUCUGGUUGUAAACCGCUUUCGCCUGUGACGAAGCGUGAGUGACGGUAAUGGGUAAAGAAGCACCGGCUAACUACGUG
rnacentral:rRNA from 1 species